AACCCAUGUUGAGGACAUUUCCACAAAAGUUCCUUGAACCUAUCCCACAUCUCAAAUAGAGACUCCAAUACCAUUUGCACAAAGGAAGAAAUCUCAUUCCUUAGCUU